UCCACGCUGUGGAGGGUUUCUUCUUUCACUGUUUGCAAUAACUCUUGCUACUGCUCACUCUUUGGGUCCACACUGCGUUUAUGAGCUGUAACACUCACCGCGAAGGCCUGCAGCUUCACUCCUGAGCCAGCGAGACCACGAGCCCACCGGAAGGAACAAACUCCUGACACGCCGCCUUUAAGAACUGUAACACUCACUGCGAGGGUCGGCGGCUGCAUUCUUGAAGUCAGUGAGAGCAAGAACCCACCGAUUCCGGGCACGAACCUGAAGAUUGGAUCUUCUGAGAACAUCAGAGAAAGACUGUCCUUGCCAUCCAUCUACAGCAAAACUUUGGGACCUUGAACUUUGGGUUCACAAUCUCACAACCAAGAAGGAUUCCUCUACAAUUUUGGAACAGUACACCCAUUGGAAACCUUAAGACCCUGGCUGAACUACAGAUGAACAAAUGCACUUGGACACAGAUAUCCAGUGAAAGAGUGAGCUAGGGGACCGGGCUACCCACAGACACCAAGGAAGGUGCUGUACAGA